AGUCAAUAGAUACCCAGGUAGUCCACGCCCUAAACGAUGUCAACUAGUUGUUGGGGAGUAAAAUCCCUUAGUAAACGCAGCUAAACGCGUGAAGUUGACCGCCUGGGGAGUACGGUCGCAAGAUUAAAGCUCAAAGGAAUUGACGGGGGCCCGCACAAGCGGUGGAUUAUGUGGAUUAAUUCGAUGCAACGCGAAAAACCUUACCUGGCCUUGACAUGCCACUAACGAAGCAGAGAUGCAUUAGGUGCCCGAAAGGGAAAGUGGACACAGGUGCUGCAUGGCUGUCGUCAGCUCGUGUCGUGAGAUGUUGGGUUAAGUCCCGCAACGAGCGCAACCCUUGCCAAUAAUUGCCAUCAUUCAGUUGGGCACUUUAUUGGGACUGCCGGUGACAAACCGGA
rnacentral:rRNA from 1 species